UCAGGAUGAACGCUAGCGACAGGCUUAACACAUGCAAGUCGAGGGGCAGCACGGGAGUAGCAAUACAACUGGUGGCGACCGGCGCACGGGUGAGUAACGCGUAUGCAACCUACCUAUCAGAGGGGAAUAACCCGGCGAAAGUCGGACUAAUACCGCAUAAAACAGGGGCACCGCAUGGUGAUAUUUGUUAAAGAAAUUCGCUGAUAGAUGGGCAUGCGUUCCAUUAGGUAGUUGGUGAGGUAACGGCUCACCAAGCCGACGAUGGAUAGGGGAACUGAGAGGUUGGUCCCCCACACUGGUACUGAGACACGGACCAGACUCCUACGGGAGGCAGCAGUGAGGAAUAUUGGUCAAUGGGCGAGAGCCUGAACCAGCCAAGUCGCGUGAAAGGAAGAAGGAUCUAUGGUUCGUAAACUUCUUUUGCAGGGGAAUAAAGUGCGGGACGUGUCCUGUUUUGUAUGUACCCUGAGAAUAAGGAUCGGCUAACUCCGUGCCAGCAGCAGC
rnacentral:rRNA from 1 species